AUUGAACGCUGGCGGCAGGCCUAACACAUGCAAGUCGAGCGAGCGGCGGACGGGUGAGUAAUGUAUGGGGACUGCCCGAUAGAGGGGGAUAACUACUGGAAACGGUGGCUAAUACCGCAUACUGUCGGAUAACCCAUAUGGGAUUAGCUAGUAGGUAAGGUAAUGGCUUACCUAGGCGACGAUCCCUAGCUGGUCUGAGAGGAUGAACAGCCAAUCUGGGAUUGAGACACGGCCCAGACCCCUACGGAGGCAGAAGUGGGGAAUAUUGCACAAUGGGGGCAAGCCUGAUGCAGCCAGCCCUCGUAUAGAAAGAAGGCCCUAGGGUGGUAAGGUACUUUCAGUCGGGAGGCGUUACCGACAUAGGAAGCACCGGCUAACUCCGUGCCAGCAGCCGCGGUAAUAC
rnacentral:rRNA from 1 species